rfam:Ixodes scapularis strain Wikel colony gcontig_1107728808092, whole genome shotgun sequence.
GCAGUCGUGGACGAGUGGUUAAGGCGAUGGACUAGAAAUCCACAGAAAUCCCCGCACAGGUUCGAAUCCUUUUGACUGCG